rnacentral:rRNA from 1 species
AUUGAACGCUGGCGGCAGGCUUAACACAUGCAAGUCGAGCGGGGGAAGGUAGCUUGCUACCGGACCUAGCGGCGGACGGGUGAGUAAUGCUUAGGAAUCUGCCUAUUAGUGGGGGACAACAUCUCGAUAGGGAUGCUAAUACCGCAUACGUCCUACGGGAGAAAGCAGGGGAUCUUCGGACCUUGCGCUAAAAGAUGAGCCUAAGUCGGAUUAGCUAGUUGGUGGGGUAAAGGCCUACCAAGGCGACGAUCUGUAGCGGGUCUGAGAGGAUGAUCCGCCACACUGGGACUGAGACACGGCCCAGACUCCUACGGGAGGCAGCAGUGGGGAAUAUUGGACAAUGGGGGGAACCCUGAUCCAGCCAUGCCGCGUGUGUGAAGAAGGCCUUAUGGUUGUAAAGCACUUUAAGCGAGGAGGAGGCUACUUUAGUUAAUACCUAGAGAUAGUGGACGUUACUCGCAGAAUAAGCACCGGCUAACUCUGUGCCAGCCGCCGCCGUAA